rnacentral:rRNA from 1 species
CCCUUCGAUACGCUGGGCGGCACGCGCGCUACAAUGAGCCAUAGAAUGUGUAACAUCGUCGAGGCGGCGUUGUGAAUCGUUAAUAUGGCAUCGUGAAUGGGAUAGUCAUCUGCAAUUUCUCGACUUGAAAGAGGAAUCCCUUGUAAGGGUGUUUGAGAACAGCACUCUGAAUACGUCCCUGUGGAAUGUACACACCGCCCGUCGUUUCUCCCGACUGAUGUUUAAUGUGAAUUGCGAGGACUUCAGAAUCGCCGUGAAUGUUGAAUAUUGGAGGAAGAAAAAGUCGUAACA